UCCCUGGUGGCUCAGUGGUAGAGAAUCUGCCUGCCAAUGCAGAAGACAUGGGUUCAAUCCCUGAUCCGGGAA
rnacentral:tRNA from 1 species